UAGGGAAUCUUCCACAAUGGACGCAAGUCUGAUGGAGCAACGCCGCGUGAGUGAAGAAGGUUUUCGGACCGUAAAGCUCUGUUGUUGGUGAAGAAGGAUAGAGGUAGUAACUGGCCUUUAUUUGACGGUAAUCAACCAGAAAGUCACGGCUAACUACGUGCCAGCAGCCGCGGUAAUACGUAGGUGGCAAGCGUUGUCCGGAUUUAUUGGGCGUAAAGCGAGCGCAGGCGGAAGAAUAAGUCUGAUGUGAAAGCCCUCGGCUUAACCGAGGAAUUGCAUCGGAAACUGUUUUCUUGAGUGCAGAAGAGGAGAGUAGAACUCCAUGUGUAGCGGUAGAAUGCGUAGAUAUAUGGAAGAAUACCAGUGGCGAAGGCGGCUCUCUGGUCUGCAACUGACGCUGAGGCUCGAAAGCAUGGGUAGCGAACAGGAUUAGAUACCCUGGUAGUCCAUGCCGUAAACGAUGAGUGCUAAGUGUUGGGAGGCUUCCGCCUCUCAGUGCUGCAGCUAACGCAUUAAGCACUCCGCCUGGGGGAGUACGACCGCAAGGUUGAAAC
rnacentral:rRNA from 1 species